UGAGCGCCAGCACCUGACGAUUCGAUUGGGUUGUGAGAGAGAAAGACGCUCCGCCAGGGUGGAUUUCGAGCUCGGAUCACCCUCGGGUCUCGGAUGGUGUUCCCUGGGGAGCACGCGCGUGGAUCUGCCGGCAGUAGUGUCGGCUGGCAACUCACCGGUAUGAGAUCACUUCGCACCUUCUCGGCGUUCCGCCAUUGUCGAAGCUUGCAUCGCCGCCAUAGGAAAUCGUGUGCUAGCUGGUCGUAGCGGGGCGAGGCACACCAUCGCCCCGGAGUUGCUUAUAGAUCAAUAGCGAAUGAUGAUCGGGGCACGUCCGUCGUCGUCGGUGUCUGCGUUGCUCCGUGGAGCGCACUGGCGUAAUAUUCCAUCGAGGAAGAAGAGGCUUUAGCCUUUGAUCCGGCCCUAGACGGUUAGGAUUAGAAGUAUGUCGCGGGAGCCAGGGACCGUGGGAUUUUAAGCAGAGGGUUUAGAUCAGUUUGGCUUUUUUUCCCUCCGCUCGAUUAAAUCUUAUCCGUUGAUGCGAGAUCCGGUGGCGCGAAAUGGUGCUGUGAGUCGUUAAAUCCGAACCAUAGAAGUUUAACCGGUUGGCGGAUAGGCCGAUCUAAUCAGGGCGCUCCGUAGUCGAUCUGACGGCCCCUAUCAACAGAUACCCCUUCGCCAAGUCGAUUUUGUAAAAGAGCCCUCUUGGAAUUCAGGAACUAACCCGCAGUCUAGUGAAUAGUGUUCUGAGUCUAGGAUUUAUUACACCGAGGCCCCUGGGUUUCUGUUUAAUCAUGCGCUCAGUCCAAAUAUUGGUUAUAACAGGGAAACUAAUUGAGAAAUUGAUUUUUUUAUAUAAAAACAAAUGCCUAGAACUUGUUUAAUUCAUAUAAAAUUCAUAUGAAGUCCAAAUCAAUCCAUUUCAAUUUCUAUAAUUUUAUAAUAUUAUUGUUUAUCAGUUAGUGCCACUGUUUUGACAUGAAUGUCACAUUAAAAUUUAUACCCUAAGUAAUCUUGUAUCAAAUACAUGGAACCUUUGGAAACUCACAACUCACAAUCUGUAACUCCGAUUUGAUUCGUUCAAGUUGUGUUAGUCUCGUAUAAAUAUUUACUAUGACAUAACAACAUUUAUUAUACCAUGUCUUAUUAUUUUAUGAUUAGAUAAUUAUUUAACUUAUGUUGGUUAGUCUUGAUAAUGUGCUCAUCAUUAUCUACCAAAAUAUAAUCUAUGGUUAAUUUAUAACUUAGAUUAAAGUUGAGAUAAGUAUUUAUAGAAUAACUUCUUAUAUGAUUUGUAUUAACCAAUUUAUAAUAUAGUUUAACAUUUUAAUCACAUAAAUUCUCCAUGAAAUCAUAACUCCUUAACCGUAACUCCGAUUUUAGUGGUUCUCGUUCCCGCGAUCUCGAAGCAACGCGUAGAUAAUUAUUAUUGUGUAUUUUAUUUAUAUGUUUGGUGUGAUGUUAAUUUUGCCUGCACCAUGUUUGUCUGUAUUGCUACGUUUAGCAGUGAGGACACGUGUCAUCUGAAGAGCAAGUUGGUACCUGAAAUCUCAAGUGCCAGGCAAGUUGUGCCCUUGAUCACUUCUUUUUACCCAGUCAUGUUCUAAUUAAUCAUAAUGAUCUGCAUAGGUUAAUUUUGAUGGGACCCAAUAGGUUACCCUAGUUUGAUUAUCUUUAUACCUUGUUUACCACUGAACUUUUUGGGUAGUACUUGCUAGUGCUUUAUGUGGUUUUGGGUAUGAAGAUACAUUAUUCAUGAUCACACUUUUAUUAUCUGUUUAUUAUCACUGUUCAUGAUAAGAUCAUUAUGUUAAUUGGAACAUGGAGAACCACCCGGGAAAACAGUGCUACCACAAGGGUUUAAUGGGACGCCCUUGGCCGAUUAAUUAGGAAAGCUAGUGGAAGACUACCUUACCCGAAAGGGGCAAGGGCAGUAGGGGAGUGGUCAGUGUAGGGAGGCCCUCGGGAGGAUUUUGCUGCGAUGGCGGUCCUGCAAGGGAUUCCUGCAUUGGAGCUUCCUAUAAACUGUAGCGGGUUUUCUGAAGCUAGUGGAACUUUGUAAAGGCCUCGUAGUGUUACCCUGCCUCGCCUCCUCGGUAGAGGUGUAUGGGAAGUCGCGAUCCCUUGGCAGAUGGGUAACAUGACUUGUGGGUAAAGAUGCGCAACCUCUGCAGAGUGUAAAACUGGUAUACUAGCCGUGCUCACGGUCAUGAGCGGCUCGGACACUCACAUGAUUAAAUUAUGGAACUUAAACUCAAUUUGUCAUAUGCAUUGCAUCGCAGGUGAGGUUGUUACUUUUUGUUCUACUACUUAAUUGGGUUGGUAUUUACUUAUACUUAGUAAUUGCUAAUAAAAUUUUGACCAACUUUAAAAGCAAUGCUCAGCUCUAAACAUCCUCUUUGGUAAGCCUUACACUUCACGUGAGCUCCCACCUUUGGCGAGUUCAUGCACAUUAUUCCCCACAACUUGUUGAGCAAUGAACGUAUGUGAGCUCACUCUUGCUGUCUCACACCCCCCCACAGGUCAAGAACAGGUACCACAGGAUGAGGCGCGUGGAGGAUGCUGUGAUGAGUUCGUGAGUGGUCUAGGCCGUCGUCUCCCAGUCAACUUUGGGUUGCUGGAUCGUUUCCUCAUAUGAUGU
rnacentral:lncRNA from 1 species